GCGUCGUCUUCAGAGUUUGAUCCUGGCUCAGGACGAACGCUGGCGGCGUGCCUAACACAUGCAAGUCGAGCGAUGAAAAGAAGAUGGACUCCUUCGGGAUGAAAUCAUCUUGGAUUAGCGGCGGACGGGUGAGUAACACGUGAGUAACCUGCCGUACACAUAGGGAUAGCCUCGGGAAACUGGGAUUAAUACCAAAUGAAACAUAUUGAUAGCAUUAUCGAAAUGUCAAAGAUUUAUCGGUGUACGAUGGACUCGCGUCUGAUUAGCUAGUUGGUGAGGUAACGGCCCACCAAGGCAAUGAUCAGUAGCCGGCCUGAGAGGGUGAACGGCCACAUUGGGACUGAGACACGGCCCAA
rnacentral:rRNA from 1 species